AUUUGCAAGAAACCUUGAGUGCCCAUUCAACCGGAAGUUUGAAAGUUUGACAGUUUAGUUCGGGGCAUGGCAGGGCUUGUACUUACCAUUGCCAGGGGCCUUUUAAGGGCCCUUGCACCCUUCUGUUUUCCAGGGCACCAUUCUUCUGCUCUGGUUCUGAGAAUAAAGGGAACAGCUGCACUGGAAGUCAGGACUAUAGCAGGCUUGGCCCACUGGCCAGGAGCAGGCUGUGGGAAAUACCUGUGGCCGUGGAGAAACCCAAUGUGUAUUUCAGAGAGCAGCCAUUGGGGCCCUAGGUCCAUACACUCCCUGGAGUGAUUCCAUCUGUCUGUGCAUCUGCUUAUGCCUUUUUCCUUGCCUGUCAUACUUUUAUUCCAAUUCUACUCAUCUUUCAAGACUCAACUCAAGUGCCGUCUUCUCCAUGAAGCCUUUCAUCUACCAUG
rnacentral:lncRNA from 1 species